rnacentral:tRNA from 1 species
AUCCGUGCCCGGUGGCACGGCCGGGCUUCAAACCCGGUUGGGGGCGUCAGACGUUCCCAGGUAGGUUCGACUCCUGCUGCUUU